rnacentral:rRNA from 1 species
UACGGAGGGUGCAAGCGUUAUCCGGAUUUACUGGGUUUAAAGGGUGCGUAGGUGGACCUUUAAGUCAGUGGUGAAAUCUCUGGGCUUAACCCAGAAAUUGCCAUUGAUACUGUAGGGCUUGAGUACAGUUGCUGUGGGCGGAAUAUGACAUGUAGUGGUGAAACACAUAGAGAUGUCAUAGAACACCGAUUGCGAAGGCAGCUCACAAAACUGUAACUGACACUGAGGCUCGAAAGUGCGGGGAUCAAACAGG